rnacentral:tRNA from 1 species
CUAGAUUGAUGGGCUUUUAUCCCACGAAAAUUUAGUUAACAGCUAAAUACCCUAAACAACUGGCUUCAAUCUA